rnacentral:tRNA from 1 species
GCAAGCAUGGCGUAGUGGUUUGAGCGUUGGACUACAGCUCUGGAGACCAGGGUUCAAUUCCCAGCUCAGUCA